GAUGAACGCUGGCGGCGUGCCUAAUACAUGCAAGUCGAGCGAACAGACGAGGAGUUUGCUCCUCUGACGUUACCGGCGGACGGGUAAUUACAACGUGGAUACCUUACCUUUAAGAUUGGGAUAACUUCGGGAACCCGGAGCUAAUCCCGGAAAAUAUAUUGAACCGCAUGGUUCAAUAGUAAAAGCCGUUUUUGCGUUCACUUAUAGAUGGAUCCGCGCCGCAUUAGCUAGUUGGUAAGGUAACGGCUUACCAAGGCAACGAUGCGUAGCCGACCUGAGAGGGUGAUCGGCCACACUGGAACUGAGACACGGUCCAGACUCCUACGGGAGGCAGCAGUAGGGAAUCUUCCGCAAUGGGCGAAAGCUUGACGGAGCAACGCCGCGUGAGUGAUGAAGGUCUUCGGAUCGUAAAACUCUGUUAUUAGGGAAGAACAAAUGUGUAAGUAACUAUGCACGUCUUGACGGUACCUAAUCAGAAAGCCACGGCUAACUACGUG
rnacentral:rRNA from 1 species